UUGAAACAAAGGUUCCCGUUCGAUCACCGAAGUUAAGCAACGUCGUGACUGGUCAAUACCAAGGUGAGUGACACCUUGGGAAUACCGGGUGCUACA